GACAGAGGGUGCAAACGUUGUUCGGAAUUACUGGGCGUAAAGCGCGUGUAGGUGGCAAAGCAAGUCGGGUGUGAAAGCCCCGGGCUCAACCCGGGAAGUGCAUUCGAUACUGCUAAGCUAGAGUCCCGGAGAGGAUGGUGGAACUCUCGGUGUAGAGGUGAAAUUCGUAGAUAUCGAGAAGAACACCGGUGGCGAAGGCGGCCAUCUGGACGGUGACUGACACUGAGACGCGAAAGCGUGGGGAGCAAACAGG
rnacentral:rRNA from 1 species